AUUGAACGCUGGCGGCAGGCUUAACACAUGCAAGUCGAGCGGAGUGAUGGUGCUUGCACUAUCACUUAGCGGCGGACGGGUGAGUAAUGCUUAGGAAUCUGCUUAUUAGUGGGGGACAACAUCUCGCAAGGGAUGCUAAUACCGCAUACGUCCUACGGGAGAAAGCAGGGGAUCACUUGUGACCUUGCGCUAAUAGAUGAGCCUAAGUCGGAUUAGCUAGUUGGUGGGGUAAAGGCCUACCAAGGCGACGAUCUGUAGCGGGUCUGAGAGGGUGAUGCGACACAAUGGUAAUGAGACCAGGCGCAGACUCCUACGAGAGGCAGGAGGCGGGAGUGUUGGACAAUGGGGGGAACCCGGGUCCAGCCAUGCCGCGUGUGUGAAGAAGGCCUUAUGGUUGUAAAGCACUUUAAGCGAGGAGGAGGCUCUUUUGGUUAAUACCCAAGAUGAGUGGACGUUACUCGCAGAAUAAGCACCGGCUAACUCUGUGCCAGCAGCCGCAGUAAAAC
rnacentral:rRNA from 1 species